UGAUCAAAAGGGGGAAAAUGUGGGUUUUUUAAAACAUGGCUGCCCUCCAUUUAGUGGAAAAGAACAACUACUUUGUAUAUAUCACAGCAGAUGGUGAGGACAGGAGCCCCCUUGAGGACUGCCCAGAUCACAGGCUCAAUGCAUGAAGGCUGGAGCUGAGGGUGACCUGAACAGAAUUCUCUAGGCAUAGUUAAUAUGCUGGCAAGGUUGGGCCUAGGGAUAAGACUGAGAUCCAGCUGAAUGAGGGGGAGAGAAUUUUCAGAUCUCUCCCUUCCACCUGUGCUGUAUCUUUCUCUCAUGCUGCUUUAGAAGAUCCCCAACCCUCCACAUUGAACUGGGGGAACUCAUGAGGCUGCAGGGUAAGGGGAAAUUGGUGAAAGUCUCAUCACCUUUAAUAAGUUCAGCUGCAAUGUUGUUUUGGCCAUGAAACAAUAGUGAAAGAGUCCAGCCUGAUUCUGUCAAGUUCGAACCUGCUCCCAACAGAUAACUCUUAUACCUUGGUCAUGCUUGUUAAAUGUGUACCAACCACUAAAUGGAUCAUUACCUUGAAUAAUCUUAAACUCCAUUGCUCCACAAGUAAUGCAAAUCGCCAUGCAUUUAAUCUUUGGGGCUCAUGCUGGAGAGGUGCCUCUUAUGUGCAAAUGAGAGAAGGGGGUACACAGAUUUAGUAUGCAUGAGUAUGUGUUUUAAUGGCUUGUAGACAUUGCUGUAUGAGCUUAUGUGGCAUCUUUAAGGCUCAGAGGCCCUCUAGGCUUUCUGUUUUCUCUUGGGCAUAUGCCUAUGAAGCCUACAAAAUCCAGAGCUUUUCUGUUAUGUUGAAAGGGGAUUUUCAUGCCUGGGAAAAGCAGUUUUGCCAAAAAACGUUCUUAAUCUAAGCAGCUCUGGCCAAAAGCCAAAAAUGUGCCAUCUUUGUUUAAGUGUGAAUUGUCACACUGCUCUAUUUUAAUCUUGCGCAACACAGCCACUAUAAGUUGCAUUUCUCUCAUAUCCAAUUUGAAGAUAAACUCCAGGUGCUGAAAGUAAUGCCUCUUCCCCACCCACCCCGUUUCCAAAUCAUGAACCAGAAUAAUCAAAAGAAGGUCUGUUUACUGUACUAUAGCUUGGCCCAUGGCACUGUGGUCCAGAAGGCACACAGAUUGCUCCCAGCCUCUCUUGAAACUUCAUUUAUGUGCCUGGCUGAUAGACAGAUGAAAGGCAGGCUACUCAGCAUGCGGAUGAUAUUCCAGGUUAGUUUACAGCUGAGAAAUGAUAGGGCUUUUUUCCCCUUGACUGGCUAGAAAGUUUUCAUCUUAUCAAUAAAAAAAAAGCUUCUUUAAAAAAGAGCUUCAAAAGACUUACACAAAAUAGCUGCCAAAUGUAUGCUGCAGCUUUUUUCUUUUCUUUUUUUAAACCCAGACACUAGCAAAUAAGAUUUCUAAGAAGCUUCAUUUAAGAACUAUUUUGGGUGGGGCAGGACUUGGGGGACAGACCUUGGGUCAUGUUAACAGCCUUAAUGCUGAAGACAGUGUUACACCAGUUGGCUUGUAUGAUUUAUGCACAGUAUGAUGUUUAAAAGAUAAUUUUUGUAAGCCAUGCUGAAGGAACAUGUGAAUUUUAUGUUUUCCUCCAUUUUUUUUUUUAAAAAAAUCUGUGUUCCAUUAAAGAUAAUGCUGUCUAUGUAUGCAUGUACACAGCUGGCAACUGCACAGUGAGAAAUUCUCAGACGAUG